CCCUACGGGGUGCAGCAGGCUCUUCUCGAACCGAUUUUCUACCCCAGGGCGAUCACGUGGAAGAGCCAUUUCUAAUGCCUUGUCUGAAGCUGAUUCUCGGUCGCACCGAAGAAUUCGGGAAAUCCACUUCCUCUCUACUCCCGGUAGAUUGGUGCACUUCCCGAAAACGGCCAUUUCUUCAGUGUAAGCACCUGUUCCUCCCUGACCAAUGUCGGUAUCUCGCGGCCUGAGGGCGGGAAAGACUCCCCGGCCCGAUGGAUCGCGUGGUCUUCGGACAGGCACCAGCCGGGAACUUCCUGACAGGAUUGAACCUUGAUGCAAGGAAUCGGAACCAUGAUGCGCCGGCGAACCCUCACGCGGGACUUGGGUCCCGAGGGGACCCGUGAAACGCGGCGAGGGUGCCGACACGCUCGUUGCAGUUGGAGCCAUUGGCGGGGGAGC
rnacentral:rRNA from 1 species